rnacentral:rRNA from 1 species
UCUCCUAAGGCUAAAUACUCUCUAGUGACCGAUAGUGAACCAGUACCGUGAGGGAAAGGUGAAAAGCACCCCGGAAGGGGAGUGAAAUAGAACCUGAAACCGUGUGCUUACAAGUAGUCAGAGCCCGUUAAUGGGUGAUGGCGUGCCUUUUGUAGAAUGAACCGGCGAGUUACGAUUUGAUGCAAGGUUAAGCAGUAAAUGUGGAGCCGUAGCGAAAGCGAGUCUGAAUAGGGCGUUUAGUAUUUGGUCGUAGACCCGAAACCAGGUGAUCUACCCUUGGUCAGGUUGAAGUUCAGGUAACACUGAAUGGAGGACCGAACCGACUUACGUUGAAAAGUGAGCGGAUGAACUGAGGGUAGCGGAGAAAUUCCAAUCGAACCUGGAGAUAGCUGGUUCUCUCCGAAAUAGCUUUAGGGCUAGCCUCAAGUGAUGAUUAUUGGAGGUAGAGCACUGUUUGGACGAGGGGCCCCUCUCGGGUUACCGAAUUCAGACAAACUCCGAAUGCCAAUUAAUUUAACUUGGGAGUCAGAACAUGGGUGAUAAGGUCCGUGUUCGAAAGGGAAACAGCCCAGACCACCAGCUAAGGUCCCAAAAUAUAUGUUAAGUGGAAAAGGAUGUGGCGUUGCCCAGACAACUAGGAUGUUGGCUUAGAAGCAGCCAUCAUUUAAAGAGUGCGUAAUAGCUCACUAGUCGAGUGACA